GAUCCUGGCUCAGAACGAACGCUGGCGGCAUGCCUAACACAUGCAAGUCGAACGGGAUCCAGGCUUCGGGCCUGGUGAGAGUGGCGGACGGGUGAGUAACACGUGGGAACCUGCCUUUUGGUUCGGGAUAACCGCGGGAAACUGCGGCUAAUACCGGAUGCUCCCGAGAGGGAAAAGAUUUAUCGCCAGAAGAGGGGCCCGCGUCCGAUUAGGUAGUUGGUGGGGUAAUGGCCUACCAAGCCGACGAUCGGUAGCUGGUCUGAGAGGAUGAUCAGCCACACUGGGACUGAGAUACGGCCCAGACUCCUACGGGAGGCAGCAGUGGGGAAUAUUGGACAAUGGGGGCAACCCUGAUCCAGCAAUGCCGCGUGAGUGAUGAAGGCCUUAGGGUUGUAAAGCUCUUUUGCCAGGGAAGAUGAUGACUGUACCUGGAGAAUAAGCCCCGGCUAACUUCGUG
rnacentral:rRNA from 1 species